rnacentral:lncRNA from 1 species
AGCAAUUUCGGCUUUUAAAAAAAAAAAGAAAGCAGGCUUUGCCAAGCGUCCUUGUUUUGGACUUGUCUUGACCUCGCUCCCACCGGCUGCAGCUUUCUGCCCAGCAUCCCGGUGAUGGCCAGUGCUGCGGGCGUUUGCUUCUCGCACCGAUUCGCGGGGUGGAAGCGCUGCCUGCCCUCCCACCUCAGCUCCAGCAGCCCUCUGCUCGGGUUGCCCUGGAGACAAAGCUUCCUGUGCGUAAUCCAAGCUUAUCCAGCUCCUUAUCCUACAUGUGACCCUUAAUUACUUGCUAAAUUAGAAUGGUUUUCUGAAAAUCACAAGGGGAGGUUAAUAUGUUCUUCCAGAGCUGGUCAAGCUAAGAUGACACUAAAUUCACAGGGAAUUCAAAUUACAUGAUCCCUGAAGGCGUCUCUUUCAGAAGGAAGAUGAACUUUCCCAAUAGGAGGCAGUGUGCCAUGAUAAUGCUUCUGUCACUCACUUUCCUUGUCCUGCUUGUCUAGCUGCAGCCUAAUCUGCUAUGAACAAUGUAGUAAGUAAAUAUCAGGUUGAUUAAUUAUGGUGCGAGAUUCAGUAACUGCUUGUCUUCUAUAAUUAACACGGUCAUUGAAAUUAAGUAACACACUUCAUACGUGGAUUCCUGGACUAAAAGAAAUAACACGGGAGAAUCCUCAGGGCUGUCGCAGGGGAGGUGAGGGAAUAACAACAGAGGGUCAAAAUAUUAAUUAUCUCUUCAAAAUGACUGUACGUUUUAAGAUGUGCUUCACACGAGAAGGGACUUUACUGCUUCUGCAUGUCCCCACAGAGACAAAACAGAGUAGGUCUGUGAAAAUACUGCUUCUGUUUGCUGACAGCACGCCUUUCUUUCACCGCUGUGAUAGAUGGAAGCGGUCAGAACAGGCGCACAUCGCGCAGAUAUGCUCACCCACCUUCCUAAGGGCAAGCACGGAAGGAACUCUGAGCUCAUGUGGUCAGGACAGCCUGGAGGGGUUGCUCGCUUUCCCAGCGCUUUGAGCGCUUCUCCCAAAAGUUCUGAUUUUCACAGAAGCACAGAAGAAUACAGUUUCUGCAUUCAAACGAUGAGGGUGGAAAACAAAGUCACCCUCAUUCAGUGAUUUCCCUCUGCCUUCGAGUCCUCCAUACAACAUUAGGAAAAAGCCAGGGACCUUCCUGGGACCACUGCCUUCUUUGGAGAAGGGUCGGUUCAGAGGUGUGGGCCGGAUUUUCACACUCAUCACAGGAACCUCAUGGCUGCCAUAAGAAAACAGACUGAAUACCUAAAUAAAUGAAUGGGGAGCACGGGGUCUGGUGACACAGAUUCCCCUGGGAAUAAAAGAAAGAGGCAAUUACUGUUCUCUCUCAGUCCAGUGAGAACGUGUAAAGGAACCAGCAAAGUGUCACGUCUUCUGCUAUCCCCUCGUGUAGACCAGACCAGAGAAGUGUAGAAAGGAAGAAAAUGCUACCACUGAAAAUAAUCCUUUUAAGUGCUAGGCUACAAGGCUGCAGCAAGCUGUGAUUGGUUCCUCUCACAGCAAAACCAACAGGGGAACGAAGGUAUCUGAAUAAGAGAUCCCCUUCUAAACAUACCAAUUCUCUUGUGCCUUUGGAUUGACAUCACUACCAGGAAUGAAGAUAAUCAAUUUGAGGGAGGGGGAAUAUGCUAAACACUUGAGAUUGUGUCCAGCUCUUAAGAUACCUGCAUUCCUUGUUUAUUUCUUUGUUUUAUAUCCUUUUGAUCAGUAGCUUAGAAAAAGAACAGAAAAUAGUCAUACAAUAAUGCCUUGCAGCCUGUGGCAUAUUCCAUUUCAGGAUCCUAACAAAAGGUCUGUAGGCAUGUAAGAAUAGUUUCAGUCUAAGUUUAGUUCAGUCUGGAAAAGCUUUUUAGUUCCCUGUAAUAAAAUGGAGCAAAUUAGUUUGAACAAGAAAGAGUAACAACACAAGUAGUGCUUGAGGGAUCUAGGAAGGCAGGCAGCGAGAUCCUUCAGUUAGCCAAGUCUGGCAAUUAACUCACCAAUUAACUCACAAAAAAGACUUCUACGGGUUUCACAGUGACCAACAGACCCUGCCAGUGGGGUCUCCUAGUCUUCAGGGUAUGGCAGGUAAGCUCUGAGGAAUCCUAGUGGUCAUCACAGGCUUUCUCUGGGCCUUCUGUGAUCACUACUGCCUCAGCAGGGAGCAGCAAGGGCUGUGUGCUGGCACGUCGGCUGCUCCAAUUUGUAGCCCAGCAUAUAAUUCCAAAUGUAGCUUGUCAGCAGUUUGCACUAAGAAACUUCUCUGAGGCUGGAGUACACUCUCCUCCUGGUCAGCUCCUCUAGCACCAUUAUAACCUUUCCAAGCACCAGAGCAGGCUUGCCCAAGGGGCUGGAACUUUUGCUUUGUUUCAAGGCUGAAACUGAUCAUAGACCAUGGAAUAUUUCUGUUAUCUAAAAUAUGCAUCUACGGUUCACUGCUUUCUUUGAGUCAACAGCAAAAUAAUAAUAACAAUAAUAAUAAUUUUAAAAAAUCAACAAAUUUUACUGGAAGCACAUCCACAGUAUUUUUUUAUGUGGCUACUAAGUAUUGAUGCCGGAAAGUUGCUGGAAAUUAAGUGUGUAAUUAAUGCUAAGAACUGCAUUUUGACAGUUUUUAGUCUGAAGAACUCUCUUCCUCUGGUGUUAAAGGAGCCUGCUAGUGAUCUAACUUUUGCAUACGGAAGGAUGUGCAAGCCGCAGAUUGCGAGAGCACUACCCUGCUUAGUCUAGGGA